rnacentral:lncRNA from 1 species
GUUAUUUGCUUUAGUUUGUCUUUCUUUUCUCUUUGUCCUCCGAUAAUUGUUAUAUAACAGAUUCUUUUUUAAUCCAUUAUUUAUAAAAAAAAAAAAAUUCCUGUGACUUUUGAAACCCACAAUUUCAACCAAACAUUUUUACUUGAAAAUAAAAACAACAAUUUAUUAUCCAGAGAGAAAGCAGUGAAUAAAGUUUACAUAACAACAACUCGAAUUUGAUCAACUGCCACACUCGGACAUUUUCAAACUUGGCUUGUAUACCACAUGGUUCAUAAAGGUCUAUAUAAUUAAAUCCAUAACACCAACAGAGCAGCAAAGAGUAGCAAUCAGUAAGUGAGGAAAGCGACAACUUCGACAUAUGAACGACCUGCAAACCAUAGAGGGUUUCUCUGCACCUAAACAAUUAGGCUACAUGCAUCUUGAACACCUCAAGCUAGAAAAUAAACCCGGACAUGCUCAGCUCAGAUGACAAUUCAGCAACAUAUUAGAAGGGGUAUCUAAUUCGAUGAGAGCAGAGCAAACCAAUGCACUAAAGGAACGAGGGCUCUUGGCCAUCAAAGGAUGAAUUAGGAGCUACGUCGCCAGCUCAACAUACCAAGCAGUAACGUACAUGUAACACUACAUAAUUCUCAAAUCAAUCACUGAGAUUCGCACCAGUAACUAUCUUCCAACAUGGAAGGGGAAGGGGGAGAUGAGAGAUUUAAAUUCUCACAUUUUCAGGGGAGGGGAUGGAGACAUGUAACGGGUUUCGAAAGUCUGAGAGUGAGUGUAAAGUAGGAAUAGGGUAGGACUAACCAAAAAAAAUUCUCAAAUCAAUGCUAAUGUCUUUGGGGCAAAUUGUUGAACAGGUGGUGAACGCGAACUGCAAGAGGUUCGGUAGUUCAGUAGACAGAUACAUUCAAUGAACCGGCAUGACGUGAGAUAGUUAUUCAAAUGAAUCGACAAAUUCGAAGGCAAACGAAGAACGAUCCAACGUCGGAGUGCUCUCAACAGAAGAGAAACAGAACUUCCUAGGAUGAUUACUUGGGAUCGGCUACAGUGACGCGCGACUUGAAUCGUGGGGGCGGAAGAGAGCCGUGACAAAGUGGAGAACGCACUCACUGGAAAUGAAGUGCGCCGAUUGGGGGUAGGAUGGUCGUCGGCGUGGCGCGGCGCAAUCAAUGAGGGCCUAGGAUUGAGGACGGAGUUGGAGUCGACGGCAGCGAGUAGACAAAGUGGACGCUUGCGAGUGGACGGAGUGGAUGCUGCCGAGAGGAGUCGUCGACUGCAAGGAGGACGAUGUCAGAGUCGACGGCGAGGUGAGCGACGAUGUGACCGCCGAGAGGAUGGAGUUGGAGUCGCAGUUGACGGCGAGAUGAGCGACGAUCUGACCGGCAAGAGGACGGUGACGGCAGGGAGGGCCGCGGUUCCGAUCUCGGAGACGACCCCGAGAUGGGUUCGACGCGAUCGGAUCCGGCAGAGUCGUCGACUGCAGGGAGGACGAAGUCAGAGUCGACCGCCAGGUGACAGACGACGUCACCGGCGAGAGGACGGAAUUGCAGUCGACCCCGAGGAUGGACAGCUUCGGAGUCGACGGCGCUAGGGCUUUUGGUUGAAGCGUUAAGGAGAGAAGGAACGCCCCCGUCUGGUUAACGAAGAAGAUGCCCAAAUUGGAGAAAAGAAGAAACGACCCGUACGAUAAAAU